AGUGAACGCUGGCGGUAGGCCUAACACAUGCAAGUCGAACGGCAGCACAGUAAGAGCUUGCUCUUACGGGUGGCGAGUGGCGGACGGGUGAGGAAUACAUCGGAAUCUACUUUUUCGUGGGGGAUAACGUAGGGAAACUUACGCUAAUACCGCAUACGACCUACGGGUGAAAGCAGGGGAUCUUCGGACCUUGCGCGAUUGAAUGAGCCGAUGUCGGAUUAGCUAGUUGGCGGGGUAAAGGCCCACCAAGGCGACGAUCCGUAGCUGGUCUGAGAGGAUGAUCAGCCACACUGGGACUGAGACACGGCCCAGACUCCUACGGGAGGCAGCAGUGGGGAAUAUUGGACAAUGGGCGCAAGCCUGAUCCAGCCAUGCCGCGUGGGUGAAGAAGGCCUUCGGGUUGUAAAGCCCUUUUGUUGGGAAAGAAAAGCAGCAGGUUAAUACCCCGCUGUUCUGACGGUACCCGAAGAAUAAGCACCGGCUAACUUCGUG
rnacentral:rRNA from 1 species